UGUGACUUUGAGGUCAGUUGUGACGGGCGCGCCAACGCGCAGGCGAGAGGAGCCACCCCACGUCCGAGGUCAGGGGCAGAAGCCGAGAGGACCCCAUGCUCGAAGGGCGGCGGCCGAGAGGAGUUACCCCACGUCUGAGGUCAGGGGCAGCGGCCGAGAGUACCAACUGCAACGGAGCAGGAACAGUGGAGAGGAGCUACCCCGCGUCGGAGGUCAGGGGCGGUGGCCGGGAGGAGAUACCCCACGCCCCAAGCCCAAGGCCAGGGGCGGCGGGCGGGCGGGAGGAGGAGCUACCCCACGCCCCUAAGCCCGAGACCAGGGACGGCGGCCAGGAAGAGCAACCGCACGCUCCCACACCCGAGGCCAGGGACGGCGGCCAGGAGGAGCAACCCCACGACCGAGGCCAGGGGCGGUGGCCAGGAGGACCAACCCCACGCCCAAGGAGCCGUGGAUGUGCGGGCGCAGGAGGGCCUAGAGGAGCUAUCCCACGUUGAAGGUCAGGAAGGGCUGCAGUGAGGAGAUACCCCUCGCCCAAGCCUCCUAGCAGCCCUGAGAUGCAGGGAUGAGACCAAGAUCCCUUCAUUCAGAUGAACAUUCACUGAGCCUAGACUCUGUGUCAGACAGAGGCCUCAAGGAGUUCAGAGUCUAGAGGGAGAGACCAACAGAAAGAAAGCAGAGAGACAACAGCAAUUGAGAGAUGUGGGAGCUGGAUGGAUAAGGGCUGGCUGCCUUAGCGAAAGGCCAGAGGAAGCUGAAAUAUAAUUCCUUAUCAAGGGAGUGGGGAGAAGGAGAGAGCAGUAUCAACAAGAAACAAGUCUACAUCUGCCUCAGAACCCAAGAACAGCUUAGGAAUGGGAGGUGCUGGAUACUUCUGAAGGUAGGUUGUCGGAUGGGCUAGAAGGGGAGGCCUGCGGGAAAGCAUAAGGAGCUAGACUCCUAAAUCUCCUCCUUCAACCUCUGCAGCCAGAUGACUGCCCUCUUCCAGCUUGUCAGGAGACUGAAUUGAGAGGCUAUGGAUAUGGGAACACUGGCACAGCUGAAAACAGGAGUGAUGGACUGUACUGUAAUCGGGGG
ensembl:lncRNA